rnacentral:tRNA from 1 species
CGGGGUGUAGCCCAGCGGUAGGGCGCCUGCUUUGGGAGCAGGAGGUCGAGAGUUCGAUUCUCUCCACCCCGACCA